UGGGUAACCUGCCUCAAAGAGGGGAAUAGCCUCCCGAAAGGGAGAUUAAUACCGCAUAAUAUGUUUAAGUCGCAUGACUUUAACAUCAAAGGAUUUUCUUUUAGAAAUUCCACUUUGAGAUGGACCCGCGGCGCAUUAGCUAGUUGGUGAGGUAACGGCUCACCAAGGCAACGAUGCGUAGCCGACCUGAGAGGGUGAUCGGCCACAUUGGAACUGAGACACGGUCCGGACUCCUACGGGAGCAG
rnacentral:rRNA from 1 species